rnacentral:lncRNA from 1 species
GAUACUGAGCAUCCACCUGUGUGAUUGGCACAAUGUGAAAGAGGGGAAAAGAGUGGAGGAGGAAGAGACAGGAGAGCUGAUAUGAAACUCUUGUUAUUUAUGAGGAUCACAAUCAAGAGUUUAAAGACAACCGGUCUCUGCUCCAGCCACACAGGACUUCUUCUAGUACCUUUACUACAUCAUGCCUCCCCUGCCUCAGGCUUCUGCUGGGAUGGAUCGAGCACAUUCACCCUAAAAUUCUGAUUCAGAAGAUCUGAGCCUUCUGAAAAAAAAGCAUUGAGAGCAUAAACCACUCAGAAGAUUUAUAGCUUAAAGCAGAUCACCUUAAGAGCCAGAUUUGGCCGAACAGCAGUAUGAAAUACAUUUAGGUAUGAGUUUCUGAAAGAAGACAACAUAGACAGCACUACUUUCCUCUGCUGUUGACAUCAGUCCCAGUGUGUCUUUGCACUAAUGGCUAACUAGAGCCAUGUAGUUAUGGACAAUUACUCCUGACUCCCUUAGAACUAUGAACAGUGAAUUAAUGGAACUCUAAGAACUCACACAUUGGCUCCCAGUGUCCCUAUGACCCAAAGCUGGAUCUGUUCCUUACAGAAUUGAGAAUGACUGCAAUAGGAAACACAGUGAAAUCAAAAGUACCCUCAUCAACUCACUCUGUCACAAACUUCCUCCAAAUGUGUUAAUGAUUUUCUGAGACACAUUUUCAAAGGAUUAUUUAUAAGAACGAGACAAAAUUAAGCCAAAGUCCAUAUUACGUGAAACUUCAUCUCCUAGGCUUUGUAAAUAAAAGCUAAAGGAUACAGGACACAUCUGACCCAGGAAUCUAAGCAAGUAACAUACUACCUGGCUAAUCCAGUUGAGGUGAAGGUCACAAUACUGAAUUUGAAUAUGCUGUGUUCUCUACUGUAAAUAAAGUAUUUUGUUUAUCUUUUCAUGCC